rnacentral:rRNA from 1 species
GUGGGGAAUUUUGGACAAUGGGCGAAAGCCUGAUCCAGCCAUGCCGCGUGCAGGAUGAAGGCCUUCGGGUUGUAAACUGCUUUUGUACGGAACGAAAAGACUCCUUCUAAUAAAGGGGGUCCAUGACGGUACCGUAAGAAUAAGCACCGGCUAACUACGUGCCAGCAGCCGCGGUAAUACGUAGGGUGCAAGCGUUAAUCGGAAUUACUGGGCGUAAAGCGUGCGCAGGCGGUUAUAUAAGACAGAUGUGAAAUCCCCGGGCUCAACCUGGGAACUGCGUUUGUGACUGUAUAGCUAGAGUACGGUAGAGGGGGAUGGAAUUCCGCGUGUAGCAGUGAAAUGCGUAGAUAUGCGGAGGAACACCGAUGGCGAAGGCAAUCCCCUGGACCUGUACUGACGCUCAUGCACGAAAGCGUGGGGAGCAAACAGGAUUAGAUACCCGAGUAGUCC